ACCUGGGUGGCUCAGUUGGUUGAGCGUCUGACUUCAGCUCAGAUCAUGAUCUCGCAGUUGACAAAUUCGAGCCCCAUGUC
rnacentral:tRNA from 1 species